AUUGAACGCUGGCGGCAUGCCUUACACAUGCAAGUCGAACGGCAGCACGGGAGCAAUCCUGGUGGCGAGUGGCGAACGGGUGAGUAAUAUAUCGGAACGUGCCCGGUCGUGGGGAUAACGUAGCGAAAGCUACGCUAAUACCGCAUACGAUCUACGGAUGAAAGCGGGGGAUCGCAAGACCUCGCGCGAUUGGAGCGGCCGAUAUCAGAUUAGGUAGUUGGUGAGGUAAAGGCUCACCAAGCCGACGAUCUGUAGCUGGUCUGAGAGGACGACCAGCCACACUGGGACUGAGACACGGCCCAGACUCCUACGGGAGGCAGCAGUGGGGAAUAUUGGACAAUGGGCGAAAGCCUGAUCCAGCAAUGCCGCGUGAGUGAUGAAGGCCUUAGGUUGUAAAGCUCUUUACCCGUAGAUGAUAAUGACAGUAUC
rnacentral:rRNA from 1 species